AACAUCGCGCACCUGCGGGAACCUGCGGAGGGAUCAUUACAGAGUUGCAAAACUCCCUAAACCAUUGUGAACGUUACCUAAACCGUUGCUUCGGCGGGCGGCCCGGGUCCUUCCCGGCGCCCCUCGGCCCUCGCGGGCGCCCGCCGGAGGUAAACCAAACUAUUGCAUUGUAUGGCCUCUCUGAGUCUUCUGUACUGAAUAAGUCAAAACUUUUAGCAAUGGAUCUCAGAUCGGAAGAGC
rnacentral:misc_RNA from 1 species